UACGUAGGGUGCGAGCGUUAAUCGGAAUUACUGGGCGUAAAGCGUGCGCAGGCGGUUCGUUAUGUCCGAUGUGAAAGCCCCGAGCUCAACUUGGGAAUGGCAUUGGAAACUGGCGGGCUGGAGUGUGGCAGAGGGGGGUGGAAUUCCGACGUGUAGCAGUGAAAUGCGUAGAGAUGUGGAGGAACACCGAUGGCGAAAGCGGCUCACUGGACCAUAACUGACGCUGAUGCACGAAAGCUAGGGGAGCAAACAGG
rnacentral:rRNA from 1 species